UUAACCCACUGACAUUUGACCUAUUGUCAAACCUCCUGCGUUUUACACCUAAGACUGGUGAGCCGAGCUCAGUCCAGGAUUGGUGAUUUCAUGUAUGUAAGUUUAUUCGCAUGAGUUCGACAGAACUAAGAGAGAAAGAAUACAGUCCACUCUCCAUCGAA